rnacentral:rRNA from 1 species
UACGUAGGGGGCAAGCGUUGUCCGGAUUUAUUGGGCGUAAAGAGCGUGUAGGCGGCCGUACAGGUCAGCUGUGAAACUCGAGGCUCAACCUCGAGACGUCGGUUGAAACCGUACGGCUAGAGUCCGGAAGAGGAGAGUGGAAUUCCCGGUGUAGCGGUGAAAUGCGCAGAUAUCGGGAAGAACACCCGUGGCGAAGGCGGCUCUCUGGGACGGUACUGACGCUGAGACGCGAAAGCGUGGGAGCGAACAGG